rfam:Glossina morsitans morsitans, isolate Yale, WGS project CCAG01000000 data, contig: ctg10018875
GGGGGUAGUUUUUAGUACGUAAGCGCCAUGGAUGGCGAAUCGUGCAUGCUGCUACUAAGAACCAGCAGUAUCUUUUGAAGAUUUUCUACCUCC